rnacentral:rRNA from 1 species
GUGCCAGCCGCCGCGGUAAUACCGGCAGCCCAAGUGAUGGCCGAUCUUAUUGGGCCUAAAGCGUCCGUAGCUGGCUGCGCAAGUCCGUCGGGAAAUCCACUCGCCCAACGAGUGGGCGUCCGGCGGAAACUGUGCGGCUUGGGACCGGAAGAUCCAAGGGGUACGUCCGGGGUAGGAGUGAAAUCCCAUAAUCCUGGACGGACCACCGAUGGCGAAAGCACCUUGGAAGGACGGAUCCGACAGUGAGGGACGAAAGCUAGGGUCUCGAACCGGAUUAGAUACCCCAGUAGUCC